UAUUACUUUGCAAAGUCAUUGUCAAUGGGUUUCACCCUACCAUACUCACAAGGUUAGUCUGUUCCAGGUCCUGGAUCAUACUUGAAGCACCCAAGACUAAGACCUCCUGCUACUCUCACCAAAUGUGUCAAUCCUCUCUAUAUGAGAAUGAAUGACCAUUAGGUGUCCUCCUACCACUGAAACUGCUCCUGGACCUAGAUGACCCACCAACCCUCAAUGGUUGACUCUGCUGAUUCUUCACCUCUCUCUUGGUCUUCUCAAUAACUCAGGCUCUCUCAACGAAAGCAGGAAAUUCCCUAAUACACAACUCAAUCACCAACAACUUGAUAUCACCCCUUAAGCCAUUCUCAAAUUUCCUACAUUGUCACUCCUCAUCCAUGGUCAAUGUGUGGAACCGAAUCAGAUGUUUAAAAUGAUCAGCUUACUUAGAAACUGACAUACUCUCCUGCACCAGCUGUAGAAACUCAAUUUCCUUAGCAAAUCUCACACUAUCGGAGAAGUACUUGGUAUAAAACUUCUUCUUAAACAACUCCCAUGUGAUCUGAGUACCACUAC
rnacentral:lncRNA from 1 species